ACAUGGAGGGUUUGAUCCUGGCUCAGGGUGAACGCUGGCGGCGUGCCUUACACAUGCAAGUCGAGCGAAGCUGCUAACUGGAGUCCUUUGGGAUGAAAGUUAGUAGACUGAGCGGCGGACGGGUGAGUAACGCGUAGGUGACCUACCCUUA
rnacentral:rRNA from 1 species